rnacentral:rRNA from 1 species
UACGUAGGCAGCGAGCGUUGUUCGGAAUUACUGGGCGUAAAGAGUGUGUAGGCGGUGCUCUAAGUUCGGUGUGAAAUCUCCUGGCUCAACUGGGGAGGGUGCGCCGGAAACUGGAGUGCUUGAGCGUGGGAGAGGAAAGCGGAAUUCCUGGUGUAGCGGUGAAAUGCGUAGAUAUCAGGAGGAACACCUGUGGUGUAGACGGCUUUCUGGACCAUAGCUGACGCUGAGACACGAAAGCGUGGGUAGCAAACAGG